GAUAAAAUGAUAGCCCUGAAGUUCGCGAAUUUUGUAUAUAUUUGCAUUACACGCGGGAAAAAUAACAAUUUUUGAGCCGAAAGUGGUUAUUUUUACCGCGCGUAACACAAAUGUAUACUGAAACUUGCGAACUUCACAGGGCUACAUUUUCUU